UUUCCAAGCCUUUCCUCCUUUAUUUGAAAAUUUUCUUGUCCUUCUAUGGUUGCUUUUCUCCCCCUUCUCUCUACAUCAACCGAAAAAAUAUUCAAACCAAGGUCCCGGCAUUGUGUCACCGCCAAAGCAGCUCGUCGCUGUCGGUGACCGGCUGCUUUGGUAACCGUUAAAGCCAAAAAAAUGCUUUUUCGAGCAUCUUCUUUCUCUUCUUCAGUGUGGCUGACUAGGAUUUUUGAGAAUUCUUCUAGAAAGUCCUAGAUCUAAGCAUGAAACCAUUGUCCAAAACACCGUACAAUCGAGCUGAAACCACCAAGAGCUUCCUAAAAACUUCUUUUCACUCUCUUUGGUUUAAGAACCCUGAAAAUACCCUUGAAAUCCACUAAGCCCGAAACACUCGAAAUUUCAACCUACUGUCAGAAGGUCGGCUGGGUUCCUUUCUAGGUUUUUGCUGAUGAAUUCUGGAAAUUGUUUGUGUCUGCUACCUUUUGUGUUUGCUCACUGCUUCUUUAUGAUUGUUUGAAGCUCGAAUCUAGGUAAUUACUGAUUGGUGUUUUGGCCUCUGUUAUGGAUAUCUGAAUUGCUUUUCUGUUUGGUUGCAGAUUGCUCACUGAUUCUUGCUCUUAAUUGCUCCCCUUUGGGGCUUGUUGCUGAUGGAAAUUGCUUUUAAGUUGGGGUUAUUACUGUCUUCCGAUCCUAUGAGGCUAACUGUUGAUUGCUUGCCAAUGAAUUGCUUUCCAAUUGCCUUCCA